UAUUGUUGAUUCCAACAAUCGAUUUAUUAUUGAACCAAAAAGAUUUAAUUGUUGAUUUAACAAUAUUGUAUGUUGAAAACAACAAUAUUAUUUUAAUUUCAACAGUAUUUAUUUUUGAUCCGCGUUUGCGUUUUUGGGAAUAGGCGUGUAUUUUUGAAUGUCAACAUUCUAUAUUUUUUCGCUCAAGUCUUGUCCUAAUAUAAAGUUCUUAAGUGAUCCUAAUUAAAUAAAAAAAAAUAUAUUUAUAGAAAACUCGCUGUGAGGAGAGCUCAGCAACGUUGUGGUGCAUACAUAUGCUUAGAAUGAAACCAGAAAAGGAACUACCGUGUCCGUCUCCAUGUAUUCCCGGCCAAACAGAUCUUGAAAAGACCAGGAUUUUCUGUAGACAACUGCAGCCUCAUAUGCACCAUCAUAAACAACAGCAGAUUGACCAACAUAGAUGAUAAUAUACAUAUAUUCUAAUAAAAUGAUAAAAAUAAACAUUUCCU